rnacentral:rRNA from 1 species
UGGGGGAUAUUGCACAAUGGAGGAAACUCUGAUGCAGCAACGCCGCGUGAAGGAUGAAGGUCUUCGGAUUGUAAACUUUUGUACUUGGGGACGAUAAUGACGGUACCCAAGCAGCAAGCUCCGGCUAACUACGUGCCAGCAGCCGCGGUAAUACGUAGGGAGCAAGCGUUGUCCGGAUUUACUGGGUGUAAAGGGUGCGUAGGCGGCUAUGCAAGUCAGUUGUGAAAACUAUGGGCUCAACCCAUAGCCUGCAAUUGAAACUGCGUGGCUUGAGUGAAGUAGAGGUAGGUGGAAUUCCCGGUGUAGCGGUGAAAUGCGUAGAGAUCGGGAGGAACACCAGUGGCGAAGGCGACCUACUGGGCUUUAACUGACGCUGAGGCACGAAAGCAUGGGUAGCAAACAGGAUUAGAUACCCUGGUAGUCCAUGCCGUAAACGAUGAUUACUAGGUGUGG